UAUAGCUUAUUCAUACUAAGGUAUGGUAAUGAGAAUUUCCUCUCUGUUCCAUUCCUUGGUUUCAAAUUCUCUGUUUCUCUUUUGUUGUUCCAACUGGUACUACUUGGGUUGAAAGUGAGAUCCACGGGUCUGACCAGAUCCUCGUAUCUUCUCUUGAGCCAAUAGAAAUCCUAGUUGGGUUUUCAGAAGAUCUUGGCCAAUACAAAUUCCACGCCAACCAUGUAAUAAGGAGGAAGAGACUGAGUAGUCCAGGAAUUAUGAGUUGUUGCAGUAUUUACCCCGUAGCACUCUUGCCAAUAAACAGGAUGGCUUUGUAAGUAUUCUCCAACUUACUUUUGCGAGUAAAGCAUCAUUAAAUCAUGUGAAGUCCUUAAAACCUAAUCCUCCAUCUUUCUUUGUUUAUGUCAUUUUUGACCAUGCAACCCAUGACAUUUUCUUCUUUUCCGGAGAGGAGUCCCACCAAAAGCGAGUUAGAGCCGACUGGAUUCUCUUGCAGAGGGAUCCCGGUAGUGUGAAUCAAGACAUUGUGUAUGUAGGCAUGGCAGCCAACACUAAUUUGAGCAUGAUGGUCUUCCCAACAGUAGACAUGAAUCUUGAGGAGCAACUUCUGGCUCUUUGGUUUAUUAUAUAUGUCUACGAUUUGAUUGAACAAAUCUUGUUUCUUCCUCUCAAACAUUUCAGGAUAGUCAUGAGGGUUUGGCAGCUUUGAAGAAGACCAAGUAAGCUUUAGUGCAAAUAAUGAAAAGAUAGGGAGACAAAAGGAUUUCCUUACCAUUCUAUGAAGCUACUAUUUUUAAGCUCUUCUAAGUUCUCAAAAACCAUACUCAGUCUAUGAAGCUACUUUUUUUUAAUAGGCCAUGACAUUAUUGACUCGUUAAUUUGAUUUGAAUAUACCGGAUAAUCAAUGUGGUCGUUCUUGGUAUCCUAAUCCUUACAGAUUUUGUGGUUAAAGCAGACAUGAAGUUGAGAGUUUCCCACAUUUUGUUUGGUAGCAUAAGUUAGAAUGUUAGUUGAAAGGUCUAGAUUUUGACACAAUCCUUAUACCCAUAGUCUUGUUAAGCUUGUGAUGUGACAUGCGCACCUCACAAAAUGUCAUGGAUUUUUGCUCUUUGUUUAGUAACCUAUUAGGCUUUGCAUUCAACUCUCUGUUAAGCUUAUUCUCCUUUAUGACUCUUUUCUCUCGACGCAUAUUAUAGUUUUUUCCAUGGA